GGGCCUACACAUGCAGUCGAGCGGUAGCACAGAGAGCUUGCUCUCGGGUGACGAGCGGCGGACGGGUGAGUAAUGUCUGGGAAACUGCCUGAUGGAGGGGGAUAACUACUGGAAACGGUAGCUAAUACCGCAUAACGUCGCAAGACCAAAGUGGGGGACCUUCGGGCCUCAUGCCAUCAGAUGUGCCCAGAUGGGAUUAGCUGGUAGGUGGGGUAACGGCUCACCUAGGCGACGAUCCCUAGCUGGUCUGAGAGGAUGACCAGCCACACUGGAACUGAGACACGGUCCAGACUCCUACGGGAGGCAGCAGUGGGGAAUAUUGCACAAUGGGCGCAAGCCUGAUGCAGCCAUGCCGCGUGUGUGAAGAAGGCCUUCGGGUUGUAAAGCACUUUCAGCGGGGAGGAAGGCGGUGAGGUUAAUAACCUCAUCGAUUGACGUUACCCGCAGAAGAAGCACCGGCUAACUCCGUGCCAGCAGCCGCGGUAAUACGGAGGGUGCAAGCGUUAAUCGGAAUUACUGGGCGUAAAGCGCACGCAGGCGGUCUGUCAAGUCGGAUGUGAAAUCCCCGGGCUCAACCUGGGAACUGCAUUCGAAACUGGCAGGCUAGAGUCUUGUAGAGGGGGGUAGAAUUCCAGGUGUAGCGGUGAAAUGCGUAGAGAUCUGGAGGAAUACCGGUGGCGAAGGCGGCCCCCUGGACAAAGACUGACGCUCAGGUGCGAAAGCGUGGGGAGCAAACAGGAUUAGAUACCCUGGUAGUCCACGCUGUAAACGAUGUCGAUUUGGAGGUUGUGCCCUUGAGGCGUGGCUUCCGGAGCUAACGCGUUAAAUCGACCGCCUGGGGAGUACGGCCGCAAGGUUAAAACUCAAAUGAAUUGACGGGGGCCCGCACAAGCGGUGGAGCAUGUGGUUUAAUUCGAUGCAACGCGAAGAACCUUACCUGGUCUUGACAUCCACAGAACUUUCCAGAGAUGGAUUGGUGCCUUCGGGAACUGUGAGACAGGUGCUGCAUGGCUGUCGUCAGCUC
rnacentral:rRNA from 1 species